rnacentral:lncRNA from 1 species
CCCUCCUGGUACCCCAGUCCCUGAAAGCUCAGUUGCCUCUGGAGGUUAAACCCGCUUCAGAGCAAACAAAAGUCCUUUCUGUUGAUUUCAGGCCUCAGUCUCACCCUGAGCUGAAAGUUAUCACCAAGAGACUUUUCAAAGCCGGUGUAGGAGCGGGAGAAGUGUGAAGAGGAGAUGCAUACUUUUAGCAGGAGCCCGUUUCCAGAUCUUCCAGGAGAUGCUCUGAAAUCCGCACCUCGCUUCCGGCACCUCUCCCGGAUGGCUGUAGCCCAAGCCUUACCCAAUGCUAAUCAAGCCUUCUUUCCAUUAAACU